rnacentral:rRNA from 1 species
UACAGAGGGGGCAAGCGUUGUUCGGAAUUACUGGGCGUAAAGGGCGCGUAGGCGGCCUGCUAAGUCGAACGUGAAAUCCCCGGGCUCAACCCGGGAACUGCGUCCGAUACUGGAUGGCUUGAAUCCGGGAGAGGGAUGCAGAAUUCCAGGUGUAGCGGUGAAAUGCGUAGAUAUCUGGAGGAAUACCGGUGGCGAAGGCGGCAUCCUGGACCGGCAUUGACGCUGAGGAGCGAAAGCCAGGGGAGCAAACGGG